CCUCCUUUUCUUGGCAGGGACCAGGCAUGCAGUCCCACUCCCCAUUCAUUAUGUGCGGAGGCAGAGGGAAAGGGCUGCGGCCCUCCCUACAUCAUGUCUUCCUGUCAGCAGGUUCUAUUCUCAAACACCAGGACACAG
rnacentral:snoRNA from 1 species